rnacentral:rRNA from 1 species
GACGGAAGGUGCGAACGUUGUUCGGAAUCACUGGGCUUAAAGGGCGCGUAGGCGGCUUCGCAAGUCCGGGGUGAAAGCCCCCAGCUCAACUGGGGAAGUGCCUUGGAUACUGCGGGUCUCGAGUCCGGGAGAGGUGAGUGGAAUUCCUAGUGUAGAGGUGAAAUUCGUAGAUAUUAGGAAGAACACCAGUGGCGAAGGCGGCUCACUGGCCCGGUACUGACGCUGAGGCGCGAAAGCGUGGGGAGCAAACAGG